AUGAAUAUUGGCCCUCUUAUCAAAGUGGUCCUCUUCAAGGACUUGGGGAAAGAAAAUAGCAUGCCAGCGCCCGACGGCGGCGGCAAGGAGAACACGGAGGGCGCGCCCGAGGCGCGGGCCAAGUGGGCCGUGCGCGUCCGCCUGGAGGACCGCUUCAACAGCAUCCCUGCCGAGCCGCCGCCCGCCCCGCGCGGCCCCGAGACCCCAGAGCCCGGCGUGGCGCUCAGCAAUUUGGUAACUCUUAUCCGACAUCCUUCCGAAUUCAUGAACGUCCCUCUACAUCAGCAACAAAACAAAUGCACGACAUUGGUGGAAAAUAAAACCGCAGCGGCCGCCACCGCUUCACAAUUUACAUGCCCUCUGUUCACGGCCGAUGCUUGCUGGGCUGCAGGGGGUUAGAGCCUCUCACAGACGCAGGGUUCCGGUAACCCCUGUUCUAUACGCGAAGCUGCCAAGCAUCAGGACACUGGAUUGCCUAGAGCAUUCUCUUUCUGUUACCAGCAGGAAAUUGAAUCCACUAAACAGACUUUGGGCAGGAGAAACAAAGCUUUGCCUGAGCAAGUUUGGCCAAAUUAAAGUAGAAGAAGCGCUAUGUAAGCAAGCCAUAAAUAAGAGGAAUCGGAGUAGAAUACGUCACCUGGACACAAAUGUAGAACGAAGAGCCCUUGGAGAGAUUCAGAACGUGGGCGAAGGCUCGACGUCCCCACAGGGCGCUUGGCCGCCCGCGGAGUCCUCGCCGGCAAACCUCGGGGAGCAGACCCAGAGCGGGUCCCGGGGAGGAAGGUCGCAGCGUAGGGAGAGGCACAACCGCAUGGAAAGAGAGAGAAGGUGCAGAAUCCGCAUUUGCUGUGAUGAGUUGAAUCUUUUAGUCCCGUUCUGCAAUGCGGAGACGGAGAAGGCGACCACCCUGCAGUGGACCACUGCGUUCCUGAAGUACAUUCAGGAAAGACAUGGAGAUUCUCUUAAAAAGGAAUUUGAGAGUGUGUUUUGCGGUAAAACUGGCAGAAGGCUCAAGUUGACUAGACCGGACUCCUUGGUGGCGCGUCCCGCUCAUGAGAGCCUACAGAGCAGACCAGCCAUGGAUGUCAAGUGACCAGAAGGGACCGCUAGUUCCCGGCAGUGGCGGCUGCUGCCUGGGGCCCCGAGCGUCUGUGCAGCCCCGGAGCCCCGGCGGUCUGGCUCUGGGGGACGUGAGUGCAGUUGAGGGGCCUCUGUGGGGACGUUACAGCACGUUUUGUAAAGAUGUUUGUCUAGAACAAAAUACUUAGCCAUUCGUGUCUUCUUAGACCAUUUGGGGAUGAAGACAUAUUGACAAUUAGCAAGAAACUUUUCAAUUAUCUGCCUGAUUCCAUCAUGUUUUCUUAACAUGAUAACUUCAAAAAUUAACAUCCUUCGUAAUUUCCUUAGUCUUCCAAGGUACACCGCUUUUUACUUCUUUUAUUUACAUUUUAAAUGUGCCCGCCUAGCAACUGGAACAAGUUAAAUUGUUCUUAAUUAGAAGUAGUUUGGAAAUUUUACUCCUUUGUUUCUCCCUCCCCCUGUGCUGACUUCAGUCACAUGGCACCGCAUUGUGAAAUGCGGUCCCUGUCCAACCCUCUUGCUGGACAUUUUCCAGAGACUCCCUUUGAAGCCACUUUUGUCCAUAAAUGAGAUAUUGUCACAGUGGAUUCCUUCAAUGCCCUCAUUUUCAUAUUGAGAGUCAUUACUUUCUGUGUAAUAAACUGUGGUGUUUGGA